rnacentral:rRNA from 1 species
GACGUAGGGGGCGAGCGUUGUCCGGAUUUAUUGGGCGUAAAGAGCGCGUAGGCGGCCCGUUAAGUCGGAUGUGAAAACCCGUGGCUCAACCACGGGCCUGCAUCCGAUACUGGCGGGCUCGAGGCAGGCAGGGGAGAUCGGAAUUCCUGGUGUAGCGGUGAAAUGCGCAGAUAUCAGGAGGAACACCGGUGGCGAAGGCGGGUCUCUGGGCAGUAACUGACGCUGAGGAGCGAAAGCGUGGGGAGCGAACAGG